UUGCCAAAGCAAAAUAAGAUGGAGGAGGAAUUGGAAAGACAUUUACUGUAAUCUAUAAUUUCAGGGUUGGAAAAAAACACCAGGAAUUGGAAAAAAGAAGUUACAGAGACAGAAAAAAAAAGUAGGUGUCUGGCUCUUGAGAAACAACUGAGGAGUUCAUGACUGCAUAAAAAGGAUGUAUCUUCUGAAUUUCUCCUAUCUUGAAGGAAACCACAUUUUCUACAUUGUUUUGACUACAAGAAGAACAGUGUAAGGAGCCCAUUCAGGAAAAAUUUAUUUGAGGAACUAUAAGGCCUAGCAGGCUGCAAAUGAUGGUCAGAAGGAAUCUCCCCUCUCCAGUGCUGUUCCUGCAGGGAGCAGAUACAGCUGGGAUUUGUCAGGAUCAUAUCACAGG